rnacentral:misc_RNA from 1 species
AUUAACAAUGGAUAGCACUACAUCUAAAAAAACUAUAACAUUUAAAACAAGAUAGUGGGGAAAGCAUAAACCACAAAGAAAAAAGCAGCAAUAGCAGCCCACCCAAGCGAAAAAAAGACAACCACCCAUGUAACUUUGAGCCUUCGGAACAUAUCCAAUAAAUACGGCACACCGAUCUUGUUGCAUCCACAAGAUUGAAGAUAUGAACAAGCAAACCAAAUUUUAAGAAAAAACAAAAGCACUAAUGCAUCUAAAGUAAUUCUUGCUAAAGAACAUGAUAUACAAAUUGGAGUGACAUGAAUUUACAGAACAGUGUUAAUGUGAAGUGCUUUAAGCAGAGAAGUAGCCAUUUGUUUCACCAACACUUGGCCUCCUGAGCUUUGCCCAUCGCGGCGUUCCUCAAUCAAAUUUUUAAGUUUUUGUGGCAAAUCAUUCUCCACAAUCAAUUGCUUUGGCCGAGGAUGAUGCUCGUAGACAGCCUUUAUUAGUUUAAGCAAAUUUAGACGAGCUAUUGCAUCCUGAUGGUCCAGCCUUGCAAUGAGCAAAGGUGUCAAACCAUUAACAGCUAACGUAGUAUUUAUCCGGGAUGAUUUCGUGAUAAUUUUCAAAAAUGGCUCCAAAAUAUGCACAAAUUGUUGCUCUGGACAGCUCUGGAAGAACUUCACUAAUUUCUGAACUGCAUCCUUUUUCAGCAAUGCUUGUUCUACUUUGCGGUUGUCAUUAUCAUGAGCCAAGCAAACAGCAAUUGAAUCCAAUGCUGUUACUGACCAAUACACAUCAUCAAGCAGGCUUAAGUACACAUCCAAUCCACCAUGGGCCCUUAGUUGCUCUCUUGAAUUACGAGAUGCAUGCGCCAUGUCACACAAUAGAGGUAAAGCAUACUGCUUCAAGGGAGAAUCUGUCAUAAUAAUAUUCAUCAAAUGUGGAAUUAUUCCAUUUUCAGCAGCUUGUUCCUGUCUCCUCUUAUUUAUCUUGCACAGAUUAAAUAGUGCAUUGAGAACCUCAUUAUGGAUUUGCCCUACAAGAGGCCCGUCUUUGAGUUCAAGAUUUGGGAUCAAGAACUUAAUUGCAUCUGCCCGCUGAAGAUUCUCUAAGCAAUUGGGGUCAGUUGACAGAUUAUUUAUACAGUUGAGUGUCUUCAAAAGAAUAGGUGGCUCAAUUCUAUUGAACAUCUGAAAGAGACGGUUAAGCAAGCUUUGGCUACACAUAUAGGAUUUUACAGUUGUAUCUGCUUGAGAAAACUCAAGCAGAAGGUCUGCCACCUUUUCCAGGUAAUCCCUAGCAACAUCAGCAUUCAUUGUUGAUACCAUGUGGGAAAGUAAUCCAGACGAUGUUGCGCUCCCCGGUCUAGCAUUCAGAAUACCUGAACCAGACAGUACACCUGAUGUUGUUUGAGAUGCAAUACCAGAUGUGGAAGCAGCUCCAUCGUUAGAUGCCUGCGUUCCCGGUUUUUUGUUUACUGUCUUAUGUGAAGAUCUAGGUGUAGAGUCUAGAUUUCCGUUUUCUCUUCCACGCCCUGUUACCUCUGCAAAUUCUGCCAUCAAAAAAUCUAAUUCACCAUUGGUUUUCUUUUCAACAGAUGCAUGUAAUAGAGGCAAAAUACUUUCAUGUCUCUCCAGCCCUGAGAUGUGGCGAACAUACUCCAACUGACCAGAAAAAUGCUUGGAAGGUGGUUCUUUUUCCAACAAGCUUAGAAGAGGUCGAACUUGCUCUGGCUGAGUGGACAUCAUAGUAGGAAGACCAUUAGAUGCACUUUCAAUCAAUUUUGGUGGCCUAUCAGUAGAUAUCCUAUUAGUGGAACCAGCAACUCGCUGCUGUCGAACAUCAAUUUCUGCUCGAGAUGAAUCAACUUUCCAUCGUUCUAGGUUGUCUCGCUCUUUGGAAGCAGUUGCUGAAGACUCUUUGGCAGCUAUAUUUCCAGCUUUUUCUAAAGCAGCUGAAGUUUCCAGUGCUGCAUUGCUAGACUGAGGUCUGUCAGUAUCUGGCAAAAUGCAUCUAGAAUCAGGUUGAAUGACAUCCAUCCUUUGCGAAUGUGAAGUAGAGGCACGAGAAGGUUCUUGUGUGCCAGUUGACAUGGGAUGCUCCAUCACUCCAUGCCUAGCCUUAAGGACUUCCGGCUGUUCAGAUGCUGAAAGCGAUGCCUCACUCUGAAUAAAAAUAGGAUGAUUCAGAUCCAAUGGACCAGAACGUGGUCGUUGAACUGAACCAUCAAGUGGAAAUCCAGUUCCAACUGAUAUAGAAGCUAGCCUAGUUGCCUCAUUCAAACUAUAAAGUGUAUUGAUAAGCCUCAACAAUAUUCCAUUUUUUGCAGCUAUGCGACAGAAAUCAUUUCUUGGGGUAGAUCUCUGAAGCUUAAAGACCUGCCACAUGCCAUCAAUAGCCAGAUGAACCAUUUCCCUGUAUUUUGCAUAAUCAGCCUCUAGAAAGCCCACCAAAACAGGUAUUCCACGGCACACAAUAAACAUUUGCAACGUCAAGUGGCUUGAUUGACAAAGCUGCUGCAAGAAAUAGGCUGCCUGCAUCCGAACUUCCCGGGGACGAUCAGGUCCGGCAAAGCUCAUGACUACUGGUAUCAAGCCAACAAGACAAGCAUUUUCCAAGAAAUCGGUAUUAUCUUUAACAAUCUGAUUUACAAGUUGCAGGACAGAGCAUAUAACACGAGUUUUAGGAACUUCAAGUAAUUCCAUUAGAGGAAGCAACCCAUGCUGAGUGAUAAAAACAAUUUUCUGCUCAGGUCGCUGGUGAAAUAUAGCAAUAAGUUUCUGACAUGCAGAUGCAAUCACAUCUUCCGAUUCCUCAGGUCUUAAUGAACCAACUAAUCUUCCAAACUCAACAGCCUGCAGGGGAAAAAGAUUUUCGGCAGGCAAAUUUUCAUCAAAAACCAAACCAUCAAUGUCAUCCUUUAGAACUCCCAUCAUUAGGCGAAUCAAGUCACCACCACUAUUUUUCAGCCCUAUGUCAUUCUCCAUCUGUUUUUGAGCUAUGGUAGCCCUCAACUUUGUAGCCAAAUCAUUUUUCCCAACCUCAAUCACUGAUGCAUUACCAUGGUUCACAUGUGAUGUUGACGUAGAAGUUGAAGCUUCAGCUGCCCGAUCAUCUAGGUUUUUAUCAAGGGGAUGAAACAAAUCAUCAAGAGAGGCAUCUCCUGGAGGGUCACUGAACCUACUAAGCUCAUUCCCUCCGAGUGUGACUGAUCCCUUCAAAGCCUUUUGAAGGCCACCAUCUUGACUUCUUGGUGCAAAACCGAAUGAUUUAUUCUCAACAUGAUUGGAACUUCCUUUUCCACCAUGCUUUCUAUCUACACUUUUCUUUCUUGUUUCAGGGGACGCAACCUCACCAUUUAUAUGACUCUCAUCCUGGUCAUGCAAAUGCGUGGAGCCAUGAAGCAAUGCACAAGCUGCCACUACUUUAUUGGACUGUCCAUUAGAAGCAAUAUGGAGAGAUGUCGUUUCAUGAAUAGCCAAGGUGGGAACUUGAUCUGACUGAAGAUCAUCUUCUAUUUUAUCAGUUCUUUCCUCGACAAUAUCAAAAUUUGAAUGAUCCUUAUCAGAGUUGCUAAAACCAGCAGUCUCUGUUAGUUGCUCUUUCCUAGCAUCAGUUUCUAAGUUAUCAGCAGACCCGUCAGCUUUCCCUGAAGAAUAGUUUUGAUCAUUGCUCUGAUUAUCCCCAUUUAAAAUUUCUGAGUCAGCUGAAUCAUCUUGCUGUAUGCUUCUUAUUGAUCCGUUAUGACGAAAAGAGUUCAAAGCACGCCGAGAGUUCUGUAUCCAAGGGUGAGAAAGCAGUGUCUUCGCGUCAGGCCUCUGCCUAGCAUCCUUCUUGAAACACUGGCGUAGAAAGUCAGUAAUGUCAGGAGAUAAGCUAUCAGGUAUUGGAGGAUGAUCAUCCUGAACAAUACGAAAUAGAGCUGGCAUAGGCUGCAAAUCAUAAUAUGGAGGCACACAUGUAAGAAGUUCAAUUACAGUGCAGCCAACACUCCAUAUGUCAGAAGCAGCACAAACCCCUGACAUUUCAAUAACCUCAGGCGCCAUCCAAUAUGGUGUUCCAACAACUGAAUGUGUAUUAACAUCAGCCUCAGUUAAUUUUGUUGCAACACCAAAAUCAGCAAGUUUCACAAGGCCCUCUUUGGUUGUCAAUAUGUUUGCACCCUUGAUAUCCCGAUGAAUGACACCUUGUUCAUGCAGGUAAACCAAGCCUUCCAAAACCUGAGCAAUAUAAACAGCCACCAAUGACUCUGGAAAAGGCCCAAAUUUAUUUGGCUUAAUAAUGUUUGCAAGUGAGCCAUUCUCCACAUACUCGAGAAUUAUGUGAAGAUGGGUCUUUGUCUUCAAUGAUCCAAGAUAUUUCACAAUGUUUUUAUGCUUCAAAUUCUUCAAUAAAUCGAUCUCUUGCUGAAAUAUUAGUGCUCCAACCAAAGAAGCAUAUAUAAGAGAAAAGGAACAAUCAUUAGCCAAAUUUCCAUGACAGAUAUUGGCAGAAAUGCUAUAUUGGAAUCCAGAUGACAAUAAAAUAAAAUAAUAUCAUAUUUAUAUAUUUCUCAGACAUAUUAUUCUAGCUUCCUAAGAAAUUACAAUAAAGUUCAAAGCUUCAUAAGUCGUAAUCAAAAAUUGCCACCCACAAUGGUAGAACAAUUGUAAAAGGAAAUUGUUCAGGCAAGCCUCGCAACAGAAAUUCAUUGUUCACCAUAUGAAAUGAAGAUCAUAAAAAAAAAACUUUAUAAGAAAUUAAGAAUCAAUGAGCUAAAAUAGCAAGCACACUACAAGAAUUAUACAACGGCUAAUGGUAUGAUAAAAGGUUAUUUAUAUGCAUUUCCAAGUAGAGAUGCCAACUUAUUAUGAGAUAUAAGGAGUCAACUUUUCACAUAUUCAAGUGAAAACAUCCAAAUGGCCCACAAGAAAUGAAAUUUGUUUUGUCCUAAAGCUAGUCCCUGAAUGAGGCUAAUGAUAAUUGAUUAAUAUACAAACUGUCUAAUUAACCUGAUAGUUAGUUAUAUUACUUAUAAAACUUGCAUUCAACUUUUCCACUCCCUUGGUCAUUGGAUUCAAACUUAUCGCUUGCACCAGAUAAAAUAAAUCUCACUUCAGUGAAAUGAGCAAUCAAAAGAAUAUGUCAGACAACAAUAGCCAAUGGUGUGUUAUAGGAAAGGAUUGAGAAAGGAUAUGGAUAAGUCCCAAAGUGAUCAUGCAUAUUGAAUAAAGUCCCAACACCCCUGUUUACCUUCAAUAACCAAGCAACGAUGUAAGACUUAAAAGAGUCAUAUAGGGAAACUUAGAAUCAAACCAUGAUGAUAUUAAGAUCCUCUUGAGCAAUAUUCUCCAAGGAAACUUGUUUGAUAGCAACAAAGUCUCCAUUCUCCAAAUCCAAGCCUUUGUAAACUCGACCAUACGCUCCUUUCCCAAUCUCAUCCCCAAGCAUGUAUUUGUUGUCGAGAGUCUUGGAUUUGUGAAAGGCAGAGGACGUCGUCUGGCGAGACAUCUUUUCUUAUGGAAAUGACACUCACUAUCGUUUGAGAAAUCCUACAAAUUCAGCAUUUUGCAGUUUUGCGAUACCAAACUGGUACAAGAUCGCCGGAUUCCAGCGGCAGAGGCCAGAGCUCCGACGAGAAAAAGCAGAGAGAAAAUAUGCCCUUGUAAUUGG